rnacentral:rRNA from 1 species
GGUAUCCUAACCGUGCAAAGGUAGCACAAUCAAUUGUCUCAUAAAUCGGGACUUGUAUGAAUGGCUAAACGAGGUCUCAACUGUCUCUUACAGAUAAUCAGUGAAAUUGAUCUUCCCGUGCAAAAGCGAGAAUAUGGACAUAAGACGAGAAGACCCUGUGGAACUUAAAAAUCACAACCACUAUCCAAUCUCCACUUACCCCAACAGGCUUACCCCCAAUGGAACAUUGGUUCGUAUUUUUCGGUUGGGGCGACCUUGGAGAAAAACAAACCCUCCAUAAAUAGGACCAUCCCUCUUAACUAAGAACUACCCCUCAACGUGCAAAAAGUAACCUGACCCAAUAUAUUUGAUCAAUGAACCAAGCUACCCCAGGGAUAACAGCGCAAUCUCCCUCAAGAGCCCAUAUCGACAGGGAGGUUUACGACCUCG